UACGUAGGGUGCAAGCGUUAAUCGGAAUACUGGGCGUAAAGCGUGCGCAGGCGGUGAUGUAAGACAGUUGUGAAAUCCCCGGGCUCAACCUGGGAACUGCAUCUGUGACUGCAUCGCUGGAGUGCGGCAGAGGGGGAUGGAAUUCCGCGUGUAGCAGUGAAAUGCGUAGAUAUGCGGAGGAACACCGAUGGCGAAGGCAAUCCCCUGGGCCUGCACUGACGCUCAUGCACGAAAGCGUGGGGAGCAAACAGG
rnacentral:rRNA from 1 species